GUCUACAGACCUACCACCCUGAACACGCCCAAUCUCUUCUGGUCUCAGAAGCUAAGCAGGGUCGGGCCUGGUUAGUACUUGGAUGGAAGACAGAUCUUCAGAGGAGACUGCUCAGAGACAAGCAGUUUGGAGACA
rnacentral:rRNA from 1 species